UCCAGUGUCCUUUCUCGUACAGUCCAGUGUUUUGAGGUAGUCUCCAGUGUCCUUUCUCGUACAGUCCAGUGUUUUGAGGUAGUCUCCAGUGUCCUUUCUCGUACAGUCCAGUGUUUUGAGGUAGUCUCCAGUGUCCUUUCUCGUACAGUCCAGUGUUUUGAGGAAGUCUCCAUUGUGAUUUUUGUACAGUCCAGUGUUUUGAGGUAGUCUCCAGUGUGAUUUUUGUAC